rnacentral:rRNA from 1 species
GAUGAACGCUGGCGGCGUGCCUAAUACAUGCAAGUCGAGCGAAUGGAUUAAGAGCUUGCUCUUAUGAAGUUAGCGGCGGACGGGUGAGUAACACGUGGGUAACCUGCCCAUAAGACUGGGAUAACUCCGGGAAACCGGGGCUAAUACCGGAUAACAUUUUGAACCGCAUGGUUCGAAAUUGAAAGGCGGCUUCGGCUGUCACUUAUGGAUGGACCCGCGUCGCAUUAGCUAGUUGGUGAGGUAACGGCUCACCAAGGCAACGAUGCGUAGCCGAGUUGUGAGGGUGAGCGGCCACACUGGGACUGAGACACGGCCCAGACUCCUACGGGAGGCAGCAGUAGGGAAUCUUCCGCAAUGGACGAAAGUCUGACGGAGCAACGCCGCGUGAGUGAUGAUGGCUUUCGGGUCGUAUAACUCUGUUGUUAGGGAAGAACAAGUGCUAGUUGAAUAAGCUGGCACCUUGACGGUACCUAACCAGAAAGCCACGGCUAACUACGUGCCAGCCGCCGCAGUAA